rnacentral:sRNA from 1 species
CGAUGGUGGCGUUUUGGGGACAGGUGUCCGUGUCGCGCGUCGCCUGGGCCGGCGGCGUGGUCGGUGACGCGACCUCCCGGCCCCGGGGG